rnacentral:ncRNA from 2 species
AUACUCCUCUGGGGUUGGGUGAGAUUCCCUACCGGCGGUAAAGCCCGCGAGCCUUUUUUGGCAGAUCUGGUGAAAUUCCAGGGCCGACAGUACAGUCUGGAUGAGAAGAGGAACAG